rnacentral:rRNA from 1 species
UACGGAGGAUCCAAGCGUUAUCCGGAUUUAUUGGGUUUAAAGGGCGCGCAGGCGGCUCAUUUUGUCAGGCGUGAAAGCCCCGGGCUUAACCUGGGAACUGCGUUUGAUACGGAUGGGCUAGAGUUCGGGAGAGGAGAGUGGAAUUCCCAGUGUAGAGGUGAAAUUCGUAGAUAUUGGGAAGAACACCGGUGGCGAAGGCGGCGACCUGGUACGAUACUGACGCUGAGGCGCGAAAGCGUGGGGAGCAAACAGG